rnacentral:rRNA from 1 species
UACGAAGGGGGCUAGCGUUGUUCGGAAUUACUGGGCGUAAAGCGCGCGCAGGCGGUCUUCCAAGUCAGUGGUGAAAGCCCGGAGCUCAACUCCGGAAUUGCCAUUGAAACUGUUAGACUUGAGGAUGAGAGAGGUGAGUGGAAUUCCCAGUGUAGAGGUGAAAUUCGUAGAUAUUGGGAAGAACACCGGUGGCGAAGGCGGCUCACUGGCUCAUUACUGACGCUGAGGCACGAAAGCUAGGGGAGCAAACAGG